GGUUAAUUUGCUAAUUUACCAUCCUGACCCAUGCAGAUACUGGAAAACAGCCUUUAGGUGGACACUAGUGGACACUAUGCAUUAAAGGGUUAAUGCAAUUUUAUGAAAUAAAAAAUUAAUCAUAAUGGUGUGUAUGUGUGUGUGUGUCCACGUGUGUGGGUACGCCUUCAGUGUGCAUUAAGAACGUGGAAAUGUGAAAAAGACUUGUUUUGACAAUGCUGUGUUUUCUUUCUUUCUUUAUUAUACAGAGAAUGGUGUGAAGGACCCGCGAAUCGAUCGUGCCAUUGGAGUUUGUAAAAAGGCAGUUGCUGCCUUUUCCUAUAGUUGGAUAAAAAGAAGAGAGAUGGGUGAAGUACAGGCUGAGCUUGGUCUACCCACUCAUCAGCUGGUAACAGAGUCCCCGACAAGAUGGGGUUCACGUCAAAAAAUGAUUGAGAGAUUUCUUGAACAGGAGAAGGCCAUAGUUCGUGUCCUGGGGUCCGACAAGAAAAGCCGUCAUCUUGUGCCCACUUGGCAAGAUAUUGAGGUUUUAGAGUCUGUAAAUAAAGCUGUCAAACCACUCCAAGAAUUUACAGACGCCCUGUCCGGGGAGGCUUAUGUCAGUGUCUCCUACAUUAAACCGGUGCUGCAUUUGUUCAAAACAAAUCUCCUACAGCCAGUGGAGGAGGACACUGAACUCACUAAGACAAUAAAAAUAAACAUAAUGCGGUACCUUGAUGACAAAUACAGUGACCCUGUGAAGAAUGAACUUUUGGAUAUGUCCUCACUGAUGGACCCCAGGUUCCGUACCACCUACAUUGACCCAGACAAGGUGGAACAGGUCAAGAAAAGAGCCGUCACUGAGCUGAUGUCUCUGCCUGCUGAGAAAAUCAAACCACAGCAGCCUGGUCCUGCUGUGCAUGUGUGCCAAAGAGAAGCACAGUCUCCACCCAAUAAGAAAAUGGCUUUAGCUGCUUUCUUCAAGAAGAAAGUGCCAGAACCAGAGCCAUCUUCUCACCAAUCAGAGGCACUGAAAGUAGAGACAGAACUGGCAACCUACCUACUGACCCCUGAGGUAGACCCAGACACUGAACCACUUCCGUGGUGGAAGCGUCACGAACCAAACUUCCCA
rnacentral:lncRNA from 1 species